GUGCAGUUGGCGGAAAAAUUGUUGCCAGAGAAACAAUCAAUCCAUAUAGAAAAGAUGUUACAGCUAAACUUUAUGGUGGGGAUGUGACGCGAAGGAUGAAACUCCUUGAGAAGCAGAAGAAGGGCAAAAAGAGACUGCAUUCCAUAGGAAAUAUAAGCAUUCCACAAAAUGCUUUUAUUCAAGCUUUAAAAAUAAAUGAUUAGAUAUUACUGUGGCCACAGUUAAAGGCUUUCUCGCCUAGGUUUUCUCAUAGUAAGAAAGGUAUAAAAGCCUCUUGCGUUUCGGCAAGAGGCUUUUAUGUGGCGUUACUUCAAAGAAGUUCAAUAGAAGCCAUUUGUUGAUGGAUCAUCAUUAUUGCCAGAUCUCGGCCUAACCUUGUUAUUAAAACGAGAACGAGGAGAUUUUUUAAA